ensembl:lncRNA novel transcript, antisense to MLYCD - OSGIN1 readthrough
GGUCAGUGGUGGGCAGCCUCAGGGUGGCUCUGCCUGAGGGCCCAGCCGGCCCCGCUCCCGUCCUCUGCUGCAGCUCCUCCGGAGCAACUGCAGCCUCGGUGAUAGCACCUGGAAAAGGGGCACAUCUUGCCAAGGCGGCCCUGCUGGCUGUGGGGACAGAGGUUUCUACUUGUCCUGCCUCCAUCCCAUUUCCCGU